rnacentral:rRNA from 1 species
UAGGGAAUCUUCGGCAAUGGGGGGAACCCUGACCGUGCAACGCCGCGUGAGUGAAGAAGGUUUUCGGAUCGUAAAGCUCUGUUGUUAAGGAAGAACGAGUGUGAGAAUGGAAAGUUCAUGCUGUGACGGUACUUAACCAGAAAGGGACGGCUAACUACGUGCCAGCAGCCGCGGUAAUACGUAGGUCCCGAGCGUUGUCCGGAUUUAUUGGGCGUAAAGCGAGCGCAGGCGGUUAGAAAAGUCUGAAGUGAAAGGCAGUGGCUCAACCAUUGUAGGCUUUGGAAACUGUUUAACUUGAGUGCAGAAGGGGAGAGUGGAAUUCCAUGUGUAGCGGUGAAAUGCGUAGAUAUAUGGAGGAACACCGGUGGCGAAAGCGGCUCUCUGGUCUGUAACUGACGCUGAGGCUCGAAAGCGUGGGGAGCGAACAGG